CCUCUAGCUCUGUGCCUGGGAGGCUGACCCCGGACUUUAGCAACAGACUCCUUUGCUGUCUUUCCGGACUUCAGCCAGCAGGAGGCUCCAGUGGGAGUUCAGAGAGUCCCCCUGGGAAUGCAGCAAAAUGUCCAGACAUCUGUGGGCAGAAUUCCAGAGCUUCUGAAGGAUGAGUGUGUCCUGUGGCUGAUGAACAAGGGAUUGGAAAACCUGUAACAGAAAGCAGGGCAAAGAGAAGUCAGGGCAAAGAGAGCCUCUGGGCCUUCUGAAGACCAAAGAGCUCUGCAGUGAGGCUCACAGCCCACGGGAACAAGAGCAAG